GCCUCUUCGGAGGUACACGAGCGGCGGACGGCUGAGUAACGCGUAGGAACGUACCCCAAACUGAGGGAUAAGCACCAGAAAUGGUGUCUAAUACCGCAUGUGAUCUCCGGAUUAAAGCUUCGGCGGUUUGGGAACGGCCUGCGUACGAUUAGAUAGUUGGUAGGGUAAUGGCCUACCAAGUCGACGAUCGUUAGCUGGUCUGAGAGGAUGAUCAGCCAGACUGGGACUGAGAACGGCCCAGACUCCUACGGGAGGCAGCAGUAGGGAAUUUUCCACAAUGGGGGCAACCCUGAUGGAGCAACGCCGCGUGCAGGAUGAAUGCCUUCGGGUUGUAAACUGCUUUUAUAUGUGACGAAUAUGACGGUAGCAUAUGAAUAAGGAUCGGCUAACUCCGUGCCAGCAGCCGCGGUCAUACGGAGGAUCCAAGCGUUAUCCGGAAUUACUGGGCGUAAAGAGUUGCGUAGGUGGCAGAGUGUGUCGGUAGUGAAAGCGUGUGGCUCAACCAUAUAUACAUUACCGAAACUGCUCAGCUAGAGGACGAGAGAGGUUAUUGGAAUUCCUAGUGUAGGAGUGAAAUCCGUAGAUAUUAGGAGGAACACCGAUGGCGUAGGCAGAUAACUGGCUCGUUCCUGACACUAAGGCACGAAAGCGUGGGUAGCAAACGGGAUUAGAUACCCCGGUAGUCCACGCCGUAAACGAUGAAUGCUAGCUGUUAUGGGUAUCGACCCCCGUAGUAGCGAAGCUAACGCGUUAAGCAUUCCGCCUGUGGAGUACGGUCGCAAGACUAAAACAUAAAGGAA
rnacentral:rRNA from 1 species